CAAAAACGGAUGCAUCUGUGCCGCUGCCGCCGAUAGUCCCCGUGCAAACAGUCACUCUGUAUUUGAUUACUGCAGAACAGAGAAGCGUUAUUCAUUCAAGUUUUACAUUCGUCUCUAUGUUUGUCAAAGCAGAUUUUGCUUGCUCACGGUGAAUAUUACUUACAGGGCAGCGGCUCAGCGAUUAGUUCUCCGGUGGCAGACCUGAAAGGAGAUAUCUGCAUCGCUUCCUGCACCAGGCAGGUCUGACGUCCAGAUCCACAAGGACCACGGGUGCUCUGAGGAGAACCAAAGGAAAUCAUCAGGAACGUUGUCAUGUGAUCUCUCAGAUGCGCACACUGUAUGUGUUGGAGGAGCAGGGACAUCAGUCUCAGAUGAAAAGACUGAGAGGACCUAGGAGGAUCACAUGUCUUAAGUACCUCUGCAGAGGCCGAACUGAGCAGAAUGAGGUACAGUAAGACUCUAAUCUUUGUUUCAGGAUAAGAUACUGUGAGUCACACAUGCUGUAACAAAGAAAGUUACACGUUAUUUUUUAGUUAUCUAUCUAUUUCAAAUUAAUUUCUUUAAUUUCUAGCUUCCCAAAGAAACACAUCUUGAAAAUAACAACUAUAAAUAACAGUUUCUUUCUUACCUUGUCCACAAACCAUCCUGCUGAAGAGCCUUUGUUAUUAUGGCCAAUGGUGAUCUUCCUCACUUUGCCCAAGUUUGGUGCCUCAAUGGUGAACUUGUCCUCGGUGCCAUUUUCAAAGUUAUUUUUGUCAUUGUCAAGUCGCCUUUCACCUUACAUAACAAAACUAUUUGUAAAUUCUAUCAGAUGAAUCCUGAUUCAAACCCAAGUGGGUUUUAUUAACUGCAAUAAAACAGGUAUUCACUU